UCAAGCGAACAAGUGCAUGUGGUGGAUGCCUUGGCGAUCACAGGCGAUGAAGGACGCGGUAGCCUGCGAAAAGCUACGGGGAGCUGGCAAACGAGCUUUGAUCCGUAGAUGUCCGAAUGGGGAAACCCGGCCCUUUUGGGUCAUCCUGGACUGAAUACAUAGGUCCAGUGAAGCGAACGCGGUGAACUGAAACAUCUAAGUAACCGCAGGAAAAGAAAUCAACCGAGAUUCCCAAAGUAGUGGCGAGCGAAAUGGGAUGAGCCUUGCACUCUUUAUUUGUAUUGUUAGCCGAACGCUCUGGAAAGUGCGGCCAUAGCAGGUGAUAGCCCUGUAGGCGAAAACAGUAUGAAAGAACUAGGUGUGCGACAAGUAGGGCGGGACACGUGAAAUCCUGUCUGAAGAUGGGGGGACCAUCCUCCAAGGCUAAAUACUCGUGAUCGACCGAUAGUGAACCAGUACCGUGAGGGAAAGGCGAAAAGAACCCCGGGAGGGGAGUGAAAUAGAUCCUGAAACCGCAUGCAUACAAACAGUCGGAGCCUCGCAAGGGGUGACGGCGUACCUUUUGUAUAAUGGGUCAGCGACUUACGUUCAGUAGCAAGCUUAACCGUAUAGGGCAGGCGUAGCGAAAGCGAGUCCGAAUAGGGCGUUCAGUUGCUGGGCGUAGACCCGAAACCAGGUGAUCUAUCCAUGGCCAGGAUGAAGGUGCGGUAACACGUACUGGAGGUCCGAACCCACUAACGUUGAAAAGUUAGGGGAUGAGCUGUGGAUAGGGGUGAAAGGCUAAACAAACCUGGAAAUAGCUGGUUCUCUCCGAAAACUAUUUAGGUAGUGCCUCGUGUCUCACCUUCGGGGGUAGAGCACUGUCAUGGUUGGGGGGUCUAUUGCAGAUUACCCCGCCAUAGCAAACUCCGAAUACCGAAGAGUGCAAUCACGGGAGACAGACAUCGGGUGCUAACGUCCGGUGUCAAGAGGGAAACAACCCAGACCGCCAGCUAAGGUCCCCAAAUAUAGCUAAGUGGGAAACGAAGUGGGAAGGCUAAAACAGUCAGGAGGUUGGCUUAGAAGCAGCCACCCUUUAAAGAAAGCGUAAUAGCUCACUGAUCGAGUCGUCCUGCGCGGAAGAUGUAACGGGGCUAAGCUAUAUACCGAAGCUGCGGAUGCGUGCUUUGCACGCAUGGUAGGAGAGCGUUCCGUAAGCCUGCGAAGGUGCCUUGUAAAGGGUGCUGGAGGUAUCGGAAGUGCGAAUGCUGACAUGAGUAGCGAUAAAGGGGGUGAAAGGCCCCCUCGCCGUAAGCCCAAGGUUUCCUACGCAACGUUCAUCGGCGUAGGGUGAGUCGGCCCCUAAGGCGAGGCAGAAAUGCGUAGCUGAUGGGAAGCAGGUCAAUAUUCCUGCACCAUUGUUAGAUGCGAUGGGGGGACGGAUCGCGGAAGGUUGUCCGGGUGUUGGAAGUCCCGGUCGCUGCAUUGGAGAAGGCGCUUAGGCAAAUCCGGGCGCGUAAUUCAAGGGUGUGGCGCGAGCUCCUUAGGGAGCGAAGCAAUUGGAAGUGGUUCCAAGAAAAGCCUCUAAGCUUCAGUCUAACGAUGACCGUACCGCAAACCGACACAGGUGGGCGAGAUGAGUAUUCUAAGGCGCUUGAGAGAACUCGGGAGAAGGAACUCGGCAAAUUGGUACCGUAACUUCGGGAUAAGGUACGCCCUUGUAGCUUGACUGGCCUGCGCCAGGAGGGUGAAGGGGUUGCAAUAAACUGGUGGCUGCGACUGUUUAAUAAAAACACAGCACUCUGCAAACACGAAAGUGGACGUAUAGGGUGUGACGCCUGCCCGGUGCCGGAAGAUUAAAUGAUGGGGUGCAAGCUCUUGAUUGAAGUCCCGGUAAACGGCGGCCGUAACUAUAACGGUCCUAAGGUAGCGAAAUUCCUUGUCGGGUAAGUUCCGACCUGCACGAAUGGCGUAACGAUGGCCACACUGUCUCCUCCCGAGACUCAGCGAAGUUGAAGUGUUUGUGAUGAUGCAAUCUACCCGCGGCUAGACGGAAAGACCCCAUGAACCUUUACUGUAGCUUUGCAUUGGACUUUGAACCGAUCUGUGUAGGAUAGGUGGGAGGCUAUGAAACCGGAACGCUAGUUUCGGUGGAGCCGUCCUUGAAAUACCACCCUGGUUUGUUUGAGGUUCUAACCUUGGCCCGUGAUCCGGGUCGGGGACAGUGCAUGGUAGGCAGUUUGACUGGGGCGGUCUCCUCCCAAAGCGUAACGGAGGAGUACGAAGGUACGCUAGGUACGGUCGGAAAUCGUGCUGAUAGUGCAAUGGCAUAAGCGUGCUUAACUGCGAGACCGACAAGUCGAGCAGGUGCGAAAGCAGGUCAUAGUGAUCCGGUGGUUCUGUAUGGAAGGGCCAUCGCUCAACGGAUAAAAGGUACUCUGGGGAUAACAGGCUGAUACCGCCCAAGAGUUCAUAUCGACGGCGGUGUUUGGCACCUCGAUGUCGGCUCAUCUCAUCCUGGGGCUGUAGCCGGUCCCAAGGGUAUGGCUGUUCGCCAUUUAAAGAGGUACGUGAGCUGGGUUUAAAACGUCGUGAGACAGUUUGGUCCCUAUCUGCCGUGGGCGUUGGAUAUUUGAAGGGGGCUGCUCCUAGUACGAGAGGACCGGAGUGGACGAACCUCUGGUGUACCGGUUGUCACGCCAGUGGCAUCGCCGGGUAGCUAUGUUCGGAAGAGAUAACCGCUGAAAGCAUCUAAGCGGGAAACUCGCCUUAAGAUGAGAUAUCCCUGGAGGCUAGACCUCCUUGAAGGGUCGUUCGAGACCAGGACGUUGAUAGGUCAGGUGUGUAAGCGCAGUAAUGCGUUCAGCUAACUGAUACUAAUUGCCCGUAAGGCUUGAUCCU
rnacentral:rRNA from 1 species